rnacentral:rRNA from 1 species
GACGAACGCUGGCGGCGUGCUUAACACAUGCAAGUCGAACGGUGAAGCGCUUGCCUUUUUGGUGGGUGUGGAUGAGUGGCGAACGGGUGAGUAACACGUGAGUAACCUGCCCUCUUCUUCUGGAUAACCUCAUGAAAGUGGGGCUAAUACGGGGUAUUCCGGGCCUGUCGCAUGGCGGGUUUGGGAAAGAUUGCGCCUUUGGGUGUUUUCGGUGGGGGAUGGGCUCGCGGCCUAUCAGCUUGUUGGUGGGGUGAUGGCCUACCAAGGCGGUGACGGGUAGCCGGCCUGAGAGGGUGGACGGCCACACUGGGACUGAGACACGGCCCAGACUCCUGCGGGAGGCAGCAGUGGGGAAUAUUGCACAAUGGGCGCAAGCCUGAUGCAGCGACGCCGCGUGAGGGAUGGAGGCCUUCGGGUUGUGAACCUCUUUCGCCAGUGAAGCAGGCCUGCUCCUGUGUGGGUGGGUUGACGGUAGCUGGAUAAGAAGCGCCGGCUAACUACGUG